rnacentral:lncRNA from 1 species
CGCCAGCAGUACUAAAUGAAGUACCCUGAAGAGGAACUGGAUGGGUUGCGGGAGGCGGGGUACUAGUAGCCUAACUCUGGGGACGGGUAUCACGACUCUGUUAUCUGGCAUACGGGCAGUCUCUAAGUAUGUGGCCUAACUUGCCCCAACCAAAACAACCCCGCUGCCCUAUAUAACACUCCCUAAAAUGGUCUUUACAACACUUAGCACACGAAGGAGGAUGAGGCUGGUUUCUUACACUGUCCUGAGACCCGGAAGGUACCGACCUAUUCUCGAGAUCCUACCUACCCCGAUAUACAGGAGCACUAGCUGGGAAAGGUACAAGUAUAAAUGGACGUCUCUGAAACUGAGGGCAACUCCC